AACCCAUAUUGAGGACAUUUCUAUAGGGGCUCCUUGAACUUAUCCCAUGUCUCAAAAAGGCACUCAAAGUUUGUUUUCACAAAAGAAGAUAUCUCAUUCCUAAGCUU